rnacentral:rRNA from 1 species
UAAGGUGGUUAUAGCGACGGGGCUCACCUCUUACCAUUCCGAACAGAGUAGUUAAGCCCGUUUGCGCCGAUGGUACUGCUUUACUGUGGAAGAGUAGGUCGCCGCCUUUUUUGAAAACCCUUACUAGUGAUCUAGUAAGGGUUUUUUGUUUUUUACUCCUUUUUUAAUAGUUCUGUUUGCUAUUAGUUAGUACCGAUUUUGUUAUAUUAAUACUUUGAUAGAGAAAAAAUAGCUAUGAAUGUAAAUAAGGAAUUAGAAUUAGCAUGGAAGUUUGUAAAUAAUACAAAUAGGA